GAUGAACGCUGGCGGCGUGCCUAAUACAUGCAAGUCGAGCGAACAGACGAGGAGCUUGCUCCUCUGACGUUAGCGGCGGACGGGUGAGUAACACGUGGAUAACCUACCUAUAAGACUGGGAUAACUUCGGGAAACCGGAGCUAAUACCGGAUAAUAUAUUGAACCGCAUGGUUCAAUAGUGGAAGACGGUUUUGCUGUCACUUAUAGAUGGAUCCGCGCCGCAUUAGCUAGUUGGUAAGGUAACGGCUUACCAAGGCAACGAUGCGUAGCCGACCUGAGAGGGUGAUCGGCCACACUGGAGCUGAGACACGGUCCAGACUCCUACGGGAGGCAGCAGUAGGGAAUCUUCCGCAAUGGGCGAAAGCCUGACGGAGCAACGCCGCGUGAGUGAUGAAGGUCUUCGGAUCGUAAAACUCUGUUAUUAGGGAAGAACAAAUGUGUAAGUAACUAUGCACGUCUUGACGGUACCUAAUCAGAAAGCCACGGCUAACUACGUG
rnacentral:rRNA from 1 species